UACGUAGGGGGCUAGCGUUGCUCGGAAUCACUGGGCGUAAAGGGUGCGUAGGCGGGUCUUUAAGUCAGGGGUGAAAUCCUGGAGCUCAACUCCAGAACUGCCUUUGAUACUGGCGAUCUCGAGUUCGGGAGAGGUGAGUGGAACUGCGAGUGUAGAGGUGAAAUUCGUAGAUAUUCGCAAGAACACCAGUGGCGAAGGCGGCUCACUGGCCCGAUACUGACGCUGAGGUGCGAAAGCGUGGGGAGCAAACAGG
rnacentral:rRNA from 1 species